GACGCUCGCGGCGUGCUUAACACAUGCAAGUCGAACGAUGAAGCUGGAGCUUGCUCCGGUGGAUUAGUGGCGAACGGGUGAGUAACACGUGAGCAAUCUGCCCUUGACUCUGGGAUAACUGCGGGAAACUGUAGCUAAUACCGGAUACGAGGCUCGAAGGCAUCUUCGGGUCUGGAAAGAAUUUCGGUCAAGGAUGAGCUCGCGGCCUAUCAGCUUGUUGGUGAGGUAAUGGCUCACCAAGGCGACGACGGGUAGCCGGCCUGAGAGGGUGACCGGCCACACUGGGACUGAGACACGGCCCAGACUCCUACGGGAGGCAGCAGUGGGGAAUAUUGCACAAUGGGCGCAAGCCUGAUGCAGCAGCGCCGCGUGAGGGAUGAAGGCCUUCGGGUUGUAAACCUCUUUUAGCAGGGAAGAAGCGAAAGUGACGGUACCUGCAGAAAAAGCACCGCUAACUCGUGCCACAGCCGCGGUAAUACGUAGGGUGCAAGCGUUGUCCGAAUUAUGGGCGUAAAGACUCGAAGCGGUUUGUCCGUCUGUGUAAACUGAGCUACCUANACUGCAUGGACCGCAACUAAGUCGGAGGGA
rnacentral:rRNA from 1 species